rnacentral:rRNA from 1 species
GACGAACGCUGGCGGCGUGCCUAAUACAUGCAAGUCGAACGAGAGCGACCGGUGCUUGCACUGGUCAAUCUAGUGGCGAACGGGUGAGUAACACGUGGGUAACCUGCCCAUCAGAGGGGGAUAACAUCCGGAAACGGAUGCUAAAACCGCAUAGGUCUUCGAGCCGCAUGGCUUGAAGAGGAAAAGAGGCGCAAGCUUCUGCUGAUGGAUGGACCCGCGGUGCAUUAGCUAGUUGGUGAGGUAACGGCUCACCAAGGCCGUGAUGCAUAGCCGACCUGAGAGGGUGAUCGGCCACAUUGGGACUGAGACACGGCCCAAACUCCUACGGGAGGCAGCAGUAGGGAAUCUUCCGCAAUGGACGCAAGUCUGACGGAGCAACGCCGCGUGAGUGAAGAAGGUUUUCGGAUUGUAAAACUCUGUUGUUAGAGAAGAACAAGUGCUAGAGUAACUGUUAGCGCCUUGACGGUAUCUAACCAGAAAGCCACGGCUAACUACGUGCCAGCAGCCGCGGUAAUACGUAGGUGGCAAGCGUUGUCCGGAUUUAUUGGGCGUAAAGCGAGCGCAGGCGGUUCCUUAAGUCUGAUGUGAAAGCCCCCGGCUCAACCGGGGAGGGUCAUUGGAAACUGGGGAACUUGAGUGCAGAAGAGGAGAGUGGAAUUCCAUGUGUAGCGGUGAAAUGCGUAGAUAUAUGGAGGAACACCAGUGGCGAAGGCGACUCUCUGGUCUGUAACUGACGCUGAGGCUCGAAAGCGUGGGUAGCAAACAGG